rnacentral:rRNA from 1 species
CCUACGGGAGGCAGCAGUGGGGAAUUUUGGACAAUGGACGCAAGUCUGAUCCAGCCAUUCCGCGUGCAGGACGAAGGCCUUCGGGUUGUAAACUGCUUUUGUACGGAACGAAAAGGUCUCUAUUAAUACUAGGGGCUCAUGACGGUACCGUAAGAAUAAGCACCGGCUAACUACGUGCCAGCAGCCGCGGUAAUACGUAGGGUGCAAGCGUUAAUCGGAAUUACUGGGCGUAAAGCGUGCGCAGGCGGUUAUAUAAGACAGAUGUGAAAUCCCCGGGCUCAACCUGGGAACUGCAUUUGUGACUGUAUAGCUGGAGUGCGGCAGAGGGGGAUGGAAUUCCGCGUGUAGCAGUGAAAUGCGUAGAUAUGCGGAGGAACACCGAUGGCGAAGGCAACCCCCUGGGCCUGCACUGACGCUCAUGCACGAAGGCGUGGGGAGCAAACAGGAUUAGAUACCCUGGUAGUCCACGCCCUAAGCGAUGUCAACUGGUUGUUGGGUCUUCACUGACUCAGUAACGAAGCUAACGCGUGAAGUUGACCGCCUGGGGNGACGGCGCGAGUAGAACGACGAAGAAGUAGAGGCGNGAGACGNGCGACGGACGACACGAGGGAGGAGG